CUAGGGUUUCAGUGAAUCUGAGCUCCUGGCUUUCAGGUCUAGGAUUUUCCUCAGUGCCCCCUUCUGGGGCAUGCUGUCCAGCUCUAUUUGUGCGUGGGUCCCAGGGACUCAAACCCCCUCCUGCUUGUCUGCUCUGUCACCAUCACCCGGGAGCCAUCACCAGUCCACUGUCCUUCAAAAGAUGGAUGGCCAGGACUUGUGGGGUUUCCCUGCUGGGUCCCUGCUAUGAGACAGAAACCAAGGGGGCUUCCCCUUCCCACAUCGCAACUCCUAAGCUCUGCCUGGGCACUGCCCAUCAGGGCUGCCUGAAGGACCGAGUGCCAGGAACAAGGAGCGGCUGCUCUGGGAGCUGAUCAGAGGUUCGCUGGGGGAGAAGAAGGAAACCAGCCUGGAGCAUCCUGGUCAGACGGGUUUCCUUGCAGCGCCCCCUAGCGGUAGAAGCUCCUUCCUCCAUUUCCCAAGCAGCUGGGGCUCCGUGGUGCAGGACUGGGGACGUAAAUCUCAAGGAUGGUCCUGUCUCCUGAUAAACACCUUUGUUACUCUAUGUCUAGGAAGACUGUCCCACUCCAUUUCUGCCUGCCUGAACACCCUGUGUACAACCCUAAAAUAAAUCUACAUGUGGGUCU